CGAACGGCAGCGGGGAGGAGCUUGCUUCUCUGCCGGCGAGUGGCGAACGGGUGAGUAAUACAUCGGAACGUGUCGAGAAGAGGGGGAUAACCACCCGAAAGGGUGGCUAAUACCGCAUAAAUUCUGAGGAAGAAAGCUGGGGACCUAGGAAUAGGCCUAGCGCUUUUUGAGCGGCCGAUGUCGGAUUAGCUAGUUGGUGAGGUAAAGGCUCACCAAGGCGAAGAUCUGUAGCGGGUCUGAGAGGAUGAUCCGCCACACUGGGACUGAGACACGGCCCAGACUCCUACGGGAGGCAGCAGUGGGGAAUUUUGGACAAUGGGGGCAACCCCGAUCCAGCCAUGCCGCGUGUAUGAAGAAGGCCUUAGGGUUGUAAAGUACUUUUGUUAGGGAAGAAAAGUCAGCUGUGAAUAAUGGCUGAUACUGACGGUACCUAAAGAAUAAGCACCGGCUAACUACGUGCCAGCAGCCGCGGUAAUACGUAGGGUGCGAGCGUUAAUCGGAAUUAUUGGGCGUAAAGCGAGUGUAGACGGUUAUUUAAGCCAGAUGUGAAAUACCCGAGCCUAACUUGGGAGGUGCAUAUGGAACUGGGUAGCUAGAGUGUGUCAGAGGGAGGUAGAACUCCACGUGUAGCAGUGAAAUGCGUAGAGAUGUGGAAGAAUACCGAUGGCGAAGGCAGCCUCCUGG
rnacentral:rRNA from 1 species